GAUGAACGCUGGCGGCGUGCCUAAUACAUGCAAGUCGAGCGAACAGACGAGGAGCUUGCUCCUCUGACGUUAGCGUCGGACGGGUGAGUAACACGUGGAUAACCUACCUAUAAGACUGGGAUAACUUCGGGAAACCGGAGCUAAUACCGGAUAAUAUAUUGAACCGCAUGGUUCAAUAGUGAAAGACGGUUUUGCUGUCACUUAUAGAUGGAUCCGCGCCGCAUUAGCUAGUUGGUAAGGUAAUGGCUUACCAAGGCGACGAUGCGUAGCCGACCUGAGAGGGUGAUCGGCCACACUGGAACUGAGACACGGUCCAGACUCCUACGGGAGGCAGCAGUAGGGAAUCUUCCGCAAUGGGCGAAAGCCUGACGGAGCAACGCCGCGUGAGUGAUGAAGGUCUUCGGAUCGUAAAACUCUGUUAUUAGGGAAGAACAAAUGUGUAAGUAACUAUGCACGUCUUGACGGUACCUAAUCAGAAAGCCACGGCUAACUACGUG
rnacentral:rRNA from 1 species